GUUUUGAUUAUGGCUCAGAUUGAACGCUGGCGGGAUGCUUUACACAUACAGUGAACGGCGGCACGGACUUUGGUCUGGUGGCGGGUGACGAUGGAGCUGAACAAUGCGCAUCCGGAACGUGCCUAGUAGCGGGGAUAACUACGCGGCAUGGCUAAUACCGCAUACGCCCUUCGGGGAAAGCAGGGGACCUUCCGGGCCUCUCGCACUAUUAAACGGCCGAUAUCCGGAUUAGUAGUUGGUGGGAAUGGCAGCGGCUCGCAAGGCGACGAUCCGUAGCCUGGAUGGUUUGAGGACGACCAGCCACACUGGGACUGGGGCCGGCCCCAGACUCUGGAGGCGUAAUUGAAAUUUUGGACAAUGGGGAAACCCUGAUCCAGCCAUCCCGCGUGCGAUGAAGGCCUUCGGGUUUAAAGACGCACGGCGGGGAAAGAAACGGCAGGAUAAUACCCGUGCAACUGACGUCUGCAGAAUGGCACCAGCUAACUACGUGCCAGCAGCCGCCCGGUAUUACGUAGGGUGCAAGCGUUAAUCGGAAUUACUGGGCGUAAAGCGUGCGCGAGCGGUUCGGAAAGAAAGAUGUGAAAUCCCAGGCUUAACUUUGGAACUGCAUUUUUAACUACCGAGCUGAGAGUGUGUCAGGAAGUGGAAUUGCGUGUAGCGGUGAAAUGCGUAGAUAUGCGGAGGAACACCGAUGGCGAAGGCAGCCUCCUGGGAUAACACUGACGCUCAUGCACGAAGGCGUGGGGAGCAAACGGAUUAGAUACCCUGGUAGUCCACGCCCUAAACGAUGUCAACUAGCUGUUGGGCCUUCGGGCCUUGGUAGCGCAGCUAACGCGUGAAGUUGACCGCCUGGGAAGCCACGGUCGCAAGAUUAAACUCAAAAUUGACGGGGACCCGCACAAGCGGUGGAUGAUGUGGAUUAAUUCGAUGCAACGCGAAAAACCUUACCUACCCUUGACAUGUCUGGAAUCCCGAAGAGAUUUGGGAGUGCUCUAUGAAGGCCAGGACACAGGUGCUGCAUGGCUGUCGUCGGCUCGUGUCGUGAGGAUGUUGGGUUCGUCCCGCAACGAGCGCAGCCCUUGUCAUUAGUUGCUACGAAGGGCACUCUAAUGAGACUGCCGGUAAUAAGCCGGAGGAAGGUGGGGAUGACGUCAAGUCCUCAUGGCCAUAUGGGUGGGCUUCACUGCGUCAUACAAUGGUCAGGACAGAGGGUCGCCAACCGCGAGAGGGAGCCAAUCAGAAACCCGAUCGUAGUCGAGGAUCGCAGUCUGCAACUCGACUGUGAAGUCGGAAUCGCUAUUAAUCGCGGAUCAGCAUGUCGCGGUGAGGCCGUUCCCGGGUCUUGUACACACCGCCCGUCACUUGUGGAGUGGGUUUACCAAGUAGUUAGCCUAACCAUGGAGGGCGAUUACACAGUAGGAUUCAUUGGGGUGAAGUCGUAACAAAGGUAA
rnacentral:rRNA from 1 species